rnacentral:rRNA from 1 species
UGGGGAAUUGUUCGCAAUGGGCGCAAGCCUGACGACGCAACGCCGCGUGGAGGAUGAAGGUCUUCGGAUUGUAAACUCCUGUUGAUCGGGACGAACAACCAUCGGGAUAACACCCCGGAGGUCUGACGGUACCGAUUGAGGAAGCCCCGGCUAACUCUGUUCCAGCAGCCGCGGUAAUACAGAGGGGGCAAGCGUUGUUCGGAAUUACUGGGCGUAAAGGGCGCGUAGGCGGCCAUCUAAGUCAGACGUGAAAUCCCCCGGCUUAACCUGGGAACUGCGUCUGAUACUGGACGGCUUGAGUAUGGGAGAGGGAUGUAGAAUUCCAGGUGUAGCGGUGAAAUGCGUAGAUAUCUGGAGGAAUACCGGUGGCGAAGGCGGCAUCCUGGACCAUUACUGACGCUGAGGCGCGAAAGCUAGGGGAGCAAA